rnacentral:rRNA from 1 species
UCCAGCCAUCCCGAGAAGGGGAAGGGGGCCGUAAGGCUUUUUAAGUGGUUUGAUAUGGGGAUAAACCAUCAGCCGUGUAAGUAGCUGAAGGUACCAGAAAAAUAAGCACUGACUAAGUCCCUGCAGGCAGCCUUAGUAAUACGGAGGCAGCAAGCUUUAUCAGGAUUUAGUGGGUAUAAAGGGUCCGUAGGCGGAUUAAUAAGUCAGUGGUGAAAUCGGACAGAUUAACGGUCGAACUUCCAAAGAUGGCGAUAGUGUUGAGUAAGGUGGAAGUGGGAGUACUAAGUAGUGUGGCGAAGAAAUGCAUAGUUAGGAGUAAGACCACCAAUGAAGAAGGCAGCUCAGUAAAUGUUAACCGACGAUGAUGGAAGAAAGCGUGGGGAGCGAACAUGAUUAGCUACCCUGGUCGUCCACGCAAUAAAUGAUGAUUAGUCG